rnacentral:rRNA from 1 species
CCUACGGGAGGCGGCAGUGGGGAAUUUUCCGCAAUGGGCGAAAGCCUGACGGAGCAAUACCGCGUGAGGGAAGACUGCCUAUGGGUUGUAAACCUCUUUUUUCAGGGAGGAAUCAAUGACGUGUACCUGAAGAAUAAGCAUCGGCUAACUCCGUGCCAGCAGCCGCGGUAAGACGGAGGAUGCAAGUGUUAUCCGGAAUCACUGGGCGUAAAGCGUCUGUAGGUGGUUUAAUAAGUCAACUGUUAAAUCUUGAGGCUCAACUUCAAAAUCGCAGUCGAAACUAUUAGACUAGAGUAUAGUAGAGGUAAAGGGAAUUUCCAGUGGAGCGGUGAAAUGCGUAGAUAUUGGAAAGAACACCGAUGGCGAAAGCACUUUACUGGGCUAUUACUAACACUCAGAGACGAAAGCUAGGGUAGCAAAUGGGAUUAGAUACCCCAGUAGUCCUAGCCGUAAACAAUGGAUACUAGAUGUUGAACAGAUCGACCUGUGCAGUAUCAAAGCUAACGCGUUAAGUAUCCCGCCUGGGAAGUAUGCUCGCAAGAGUGAAACUCAAAGGAAUUGACGG